rnacentral:tRNA from 1 species
ACCUGGCUGGCUCAGUCAGUAGAGCACGUGACUCUUGAUCUCAGGGUCGUGAGUUCAAGCCCCAUGUCGGGUG